CCCUUAGAUGUUCUGGGCUGCACGCGCGUUACACUGAUGCAUUCAACGAGCUUAUAACCUUGGCCGAGAGGCCUGGGCAAUCUUGUUAACGUGCAUCGUGAUAGGGAUAGAUUAUUGAAAUUAUUAAUCUUGAACGAGGAAUUCCUAGUAAACGCAGAUCAUCAAUCUGCAUUGAUUACGUCCCUGCCCUUUGUACACACCGCCCGUCGCACCUACCGAUUGGAUGGUCCGGUGAAGCCUCGGGAUUGUGGUUCUUGCCGCUUUAUUGUGGCGUGACCGCGAGAACUUGUCUAAACCUUAUCAUCUAGAGGAAGGUGANGUCGUAACA
rnacentral:rRNA from 1 species